rnacentral:tRNA from 1 species
GGACCGGUGGCAGAGCCGGGUAUUGCAGCACUCAGAGCCGUACGCCGGGCAUGCACGGGCGACUCGAAGGUGCGUGGGGCCACUGGCGCGCCAUGCCCCACUGGGGGUUCAAAUCCCCUCCGGUCCG